rnacentral:rRNA from 1 species
AAUGAACGCUGGCGGCAUGGAUAAGGCAUGCAAGUCGAACGAGAUCUAUCUUCGGAUAGUGAGAGUGGCGAAAGGGUGAGUAACACGUGAGAAAUCUACCCCUGAUUUUGGGAUAGCCCAUAGAAAUGUGGAUUAAUACCGAAUGAUCUUCAACAUCGCAUGGUGUUGGAUGUAAAGUUUUUUCGAUCAGGGAUGAUCUCGCGCUCCAUCAGCUUGUUGGUAAGGUAACGGCUUACCAAGGCUACGACGGAUAGGUGGUCUGAGAGGACGAUCACCCACACUGGGACUGAGACACUGCCCAG